GCUCUGGAAGUCAGUCAGGCUCCGGAAGUCAAGUUCCGAAAGUCAGUAAGGCCUCGGAAGUCAAGUCCUGGAAAUUGGCCUUGCAAUCAUUAGGUGGAGAUAUUGUUUGUUCUGUGCUCAGAAUUCCCUGGAGUGAGACUCAGGACAAUAUUAAAUCCAAUGAAUCACGCAGCUUUCAGGAGGGCAGGGCAGCACGCUGCAGAGCAGCACUGAAUGAUGGCUUGGCCUGGCGUCCCUGGUGGCAGCAGUGGCCGCACCAGGCACCGUGUUCUCAUUCAACAAAGACUCAGAAUCUUCCUGGUUUGUGGAAAGAGUGCUAUUCUGACAUUGGAUGCUGCUGAGAAUCGGGCAACAGUCUUAGUGAGGUGACCAUCAUCUGAGGAGUUUUGAUGUGAGGACUGUGAACAUCUCCAGAACAGGAGACAUUUGGAAGAGCUUGUGCCCACUGGUAUCUGAAACUUGGCUGCUCAUUCUUCAGAAACCCCUUGUAUCCUGCUAUGAUUCCUCAGCAACACCGUCACAUGGAAAAGAACCAACAAUGUGAAGAAACGAAUAUGGUGUUCAUUUUCAAACUGGAAAAGGAAAUAAUUACAGUUACUAUUUACAGUGUCUGGCUUUUCAAGCUUCAUGCUACAAGCAGCUAACUCUUUGUCAAACAAUUAAUUUUGUUUAAAAUAAAUAAGUUUAUAUAUUUAAGGUCGUGUUUCAGAAGUAAAACCAGAACUAUGGUUUUUAUUGAGUUAUAAAAUUAGUUGGGGAAAAGGUAAUGCAUCCAAAACAACUCUUGAGAUCUGCCGUGUAGAAUUUUAAGUAUCAGUGUAAAUUAAAAGCAGAUUCACAGAGAGUUCUAUGAAACCGAGUUCCCUUUUAAGUUGAGGGUGCCAGAUUGGAUCAUUUCUCAGGUUUCUCACAGCUUUUAAAUACAAUAAGUAAAAGCCCAGUGAGUUAUCAAAGAGAUCUGUGACCAGUAUGACUUUAGUGUUCCAGCGUGAUUUGAGCAUAUACAUCACUGACUGAUUUUUUUUAGUGGUCAAAAAUACAUUUGACAAUGUGCCAACAAAAUUUUUCUCAAAUCAUGCCAUAUAUCAUUGGUUUAGCAGAGGUUACAAUUCAUAGCAAUAAGUUUUGUGCCUUUUAUUCUGAAUUUCACAGUCUUUUAAGAAAGCAUCUUGACUGAUAAUUGGCUGAAAGACCAUAAACAAAAUCAAUGAAAAUUAACAUCAAUGAAAAUAAAUGUAGUCAAGGUGGUGGCCACUGGAAUAACAGGAGCCCUGAAGUUAAGUUUUAUUUAGCAUUCUUCUUCUUUCUCAGAAAGAAAAACAAUAAACACAUAGCAAAUUAAAUAUGUGAUCCCAAAACCAACUAUAUCCAAAAAUUCUUGGCUAAAAACUUGUAGAUAUACUUUCAAGAAGUGGAAAAAUGGAAGAAAAUGAUUCCCUUAAGCUAACAAAUGAGAAAAUAGUUAAUAUGGGGCCUUAUCCUUUCUGUGGCUGGUGGCUCUCUGGUUGCAGAUUGUGUGCACAGGGAAGGACAAUGCCUCUUUCGUGUUAUGAGGGGUCAUGAGCCACCGUGGGAAGGAGAGAACUCAGUAUUACCUGCGGUUAACUAGAUGAAGCAAAAGUUGUUUUAAUUAGGUUGGUUCUCCCAGCUCCCUUCCCCCAAUCCCAGCAUCCAUCUACUGGUAAAAUAGGGCUAGGCACCAUUGAAGAAUGUAGGAUGGAGCUUCCAAUAAGCUGAAAGUAGUCAAGCUUAGGGUCAGGGAUUCACUGAUGAUGGGAGAAA